AGUGAAUAGAUACCCAGGUAGUCCUGGCCGUAAACGAUGUCGACUAGAUCGCAGAGCCUCUGACGGCGUUGCGGUCGAAGCAAAAGUGCUAAGUCGACCGCCUGGGAAGUACGGUCGCAAGGCUAAAACUCAAAGGAAUUGACGGGGGCUCACACAAGCGGUGGAGCAUGUGGUUCAAUUCGAAGCAACGCGCAGAACCUUACCUGGGCUUGACAUGCUUGGAUUAUCUCGAUGAAAGUCGAGUAGGCCCCGCAAGGGGUACAACAAGUACAGGUGCUGCAUGGCUGUCGUCAGCUCGUGUCGUGAGAUGUCGGGUUAAGUCCCUUAACGAGCGAAACCUUUGCCCUUAGUUACCAUCGGGUUAUGCCGGGGACUCUAAGGGGACUGCCGGUGUCAAACCGGAGGAAGGUGGAGAUGACGUCAAGUCCUCAUGGCCUUUAUGCCCAGGGCCACACACGUGCUACAAUGGGAUGCACAAAGCGAACCUAAAACGCGAGUUCGAGGAAAUCGCAGAAAUCAUCCCCAGUUCAG
rnacentral:rRNA from 1 species